GCUCAAAUUUGAAAUCUGGUACCUUCGGUGCCCGAGUUGUAAUUUGGAGAGGGCAACUUUGGGGCCGUUCCUUGUCUAUGUUCCUUGGAACAGGACGUCAUAGAGGGUGAGAAUCCCGUGUGGCGAGGAGUGCGGUUCUUUGUAAAGUGCCUUCGAAGAGUCGAGUUGUUUGGGAAUGCAGCUCUAAGUGGGUGGUAAAUUCCAUCUAAAGCUAAAUAUUGGCGAGAGACCGAUAGCGAACAAGUACAGUGAUGGAAAGAUGAAAAGAACUUUGAAAAGAGAGUGAAAAAGUACGUGAAAUUGUUGAAAGGGAAGGGCAUUUGAUCAGACAUGGUGUUUUGUGCCCUCUGCUCCUUGUGGGUAGGGGAAUCUCGCAUUUCACUGGGCCAGCAUCAGUUUUGGUGGCAGGAUAAAUCCAUAGGAAUGUAGCUUGCCUCGGUAAGUAUUAUAGCCUGUGGGAAUACUGCCAGCUGGGACUGAGGACUGC
rnacentral:rRNA from 1 species